GAUGAACGCUGGCGGCGUGCCUAAUACAUGCAAGUCGAGCGAACAGACGAGGAGCUUGCUCCUCUGACGUUAGCGGCGGACGGGUGAGUAACACGUGGAUAACCUACCUAUAAGACUGGGAUAACUUCGGGAAACCGGAGCUAAUACCGGAUAACAUGUUGAACCGCAUGGUUCAACAGUGAAAGACGGUCUUGCUGUCACUUAUAGAUGGAUCCGCGCCGCAUUAGCUAGUUGGUAAGGUAACGGCUUACCAAGGCAACGAUGCGUAGCCGACCUGUGAGGGGGAUAGGCCACACUGGAACUGAGACACGGUCCAGACUCCUACGGGAGGCAGCAGUAGGGAAUCUUCCGCAAUGGGCGAAAGCCUGACGGAGCAACGCCGCGUGAGUGAAGAAGGUCUUCGGAUCGUAAAACUCUGUUAUUAGGGAAGAACAAAUGUGUAAGUAACUAUGCACGUCUUGACGGUACCUAAUCAGAAAGCCACGGCUAACUACGUG
rnacentral:rRNA from 1 species